CGGCAACAGCUCAAAUUUGAAAUCUGGCCCCUAGGGCCCGAGUUGUAAUUUGCAGAGGGCGCUUUGGCAUUGGCAGCGGUCCAAGUUCCUUGGAACAGGACGUCACAGAGGGUGAGAAUCCCGUACGUGGUCGCUAGCCUUUACCGUGUAAAGCCCCUUCGAC
rnacentral:rRNA from 1 species